rnacentral:rRNA from 1 species
UACGAAGGGGGCGAGCGUUGUUCGGAUUUACUGGGCGUAAAGGGCGCGCAGGCGGUUCUGUUUGUCGAGUGUGAAAGCCCCGGGCUCAACCUGGGAACUGCGCUCGAAACGGCGGAACUAGAGUUCGGGAGAGGAGAGUGGAAUUCCCAGUGUAGAGGUGAAAUUCGUAGAUAUUCGGAAGAACACCAGUGGCGAAGGCGGCUAACUGGCCCAUUACUGACGCUGAGGCUCGAAAGCGUGGGGAGCAAACAGG